UGCAAAAUGUUCAAACAGUGCCUUGUGUCAAAAGUCAUUUGUUAUAAUUGAAAAUAUAAUUAAAAAACAAACAGAAAAAAAAAACAAAUUCCAGCACGCGCGAAUGUCCAAUGAGGGGCACAAUCGAAUUUGAAGUGUGACCGCAUUUUGCGCUACAAAUGUCGAUUAAUAAAGUCAAAGUACACGAAACUCACUAACAACAAAUGCUAAAGUGAAAUGGAAAAGACAAAUCCGAAUGAAAAUUGAAAGGCUAGAGACUGUACUCAUUGUAUGGAUGAAGUACAGUCGGCAAGCCGCAUAAAUUUCAUAUGGAAAUUGCAAUUGUGGUGAACGCACUUGGCAACAGUUCCUCACAAUGGAACUGAAAUCGAAACUGAAAUUGGAAUUGAAAUUGGAAC